AAUACAUAUCAUUAGUUUAAUAUUACAAAUAAAUAAUAAAAAAUAUUUUUUAUAUAUAAAUUAUUUUUAGCCUAAGCAAUAAUAAUUUUCAAUUUGACAAUAACAUUUCUCUCAAAGAAACAAAGUCGAAGGUGACAGAAAAAUUAGAUCAUCGAACAGCUUGAAAUAGCUUGUGAAGAAUUCCUAUCCACACUUCAUAAAAUCUGUUAUCUGGGCGUUCUACCAAUCACUCGAAAAAAUCCACCGCACUUAAAGAUAUCAGGUAACUGACAAUCCACAUAAUGGAGGGGGGAAAUAGAAGAAUCUAGUCCUAGAACUUUCAGCAUAUGUUAAGGAAACAACUUCCAUCGGAACAAUUGUGUAGAAGGGUAAAACUAAAUAUGUACAAAAGGGGACAAAACCAAAGGACAAACACAGGUUUGCAGUCGGCAGUCUCUCAUGGUUUGCAUGAGCAUGUAAGCAACACUCAGGAUAUACGCUUAUAAUGCAAAUAUAACAUACUACAUGGUAGGACCCGUAUAUAGUUGGUGACACUGCAGGACAACCGCCAGUUUUUUUUCUUACCCAAAAAAAUUAUAUUGCAACAUACUUGAUCCAGUUCUGCUCACGACAACCACAUGAUCCAAGUAAAAUAAGAAAAUACUUGCUCAAUCGAGCUUCACUAUCUUAUCUUCUUCCUGCUGCUUGUCUGGCUCUGCAGGGAAGUAUUUUAUACCCACAAGAUCACCUACUUGGUCAAAAACUUUCAAUGCUUUAACCAGGUCUUCCUUGGUAUGAGAAGCAGAUAUACACACACGUACCCUAGCCAACAAUAGUGGGGUUGCUGGGAAAGCCACCAUCACAACUGCAACAUUCUGCUUCAGGCACUCCCUUGAGAAGGCAGGAAUUUUAGCUGGAUUGUAAAGCAUAAUUGGCACUACAGGAGAGUCAUCGUCUCCAAUAACCUCAAACCCCAUUUUUUGCAAUUCUGACCUAAAAAAGUUGCUGUUCUCACGGAUUUGUGCAAGCUUCUGGGGACCUCUAUUGGAACCAUCCUUCCCAAGAAUAACCUUUAUGGAAGAUUUUACUUGUUCUGCAGCUGGCGGUGAGAUUGAUGUUGCAUAUAGGUGAGCUGGGCAUGUAUACUUCAAGUAUUGAAUAAGCUCCUGCAGGUACAAUGGAACUUUUUCAAACAUUAAAUGCAAACAGAAUAUAAUAUUUCCGACACACCUAAAUAAUGACAUUUUCUAGUGAAAACAAUUGAUAAUACAUCAAGCCAAUUUUAUAAAUUCAUUAUGAUUUCAGAUAGUGCAGUCCGGAAUAUCUUCAAGCAUAAGCAAUUUCACCCAUUUGUUAUCAAUUCACUUGAUUUACUUUCAUUCAUGUACAUUUGUAAUUCGACCUAAGCCUACAGAUUUGAAUCGCUGGAAUGGGGAAUCAACUCGAAUCUUACAAUUCGAAUUGAGAAUUGUAAAAUUCUAACAACGCUGCAAAUGAGACACCAAAAUAAUAAACCUUUGAUCCAGCGAUAUAUCCACCACAUGAUCCAAAUGAUUUAGUAAAAGUUCCCAUCAUGAUGUCCACAUCAGCAGUAUCCACUCCUAGGAGCUCACAGACGCCUUUUCCUGUUUUCCCUACUGCUCCAAUGCUAUGGGCCUCAUCCAAGUAAAUAUAAGCCUUAUAUUUUUUGCAGAUCGCAAUAAUCUCAGGAAGCUUGCAAAGAUCCCCUUCCAUGCUGUAUAUCCCCUCCACAAUUACCAUUAUUUUCUUCCAAGGUCUGUGAGUCCUAGGUUGUCCCUCUGCAAGUUGUUCUCUCAAGACUUCCUCCAAAUGAGAGGGUGCUAUAAAUAACAAAGUAGUUCAGAAACAGAAACACUAGUGGGAAAUGCAAUUCAGACAGUAUUAUUUGCACUUAAAUGGAGCAAGUACCACGCGAACAAACUAUGAGGAAUCCACAGAUAAGGGAAACCAAAAGGCUAAAAGUUCUACAGAACAGCCAUGCAGAUGGACUUUGAUUAACUUGACAACUGAUGACCUGGUAAAAUUAGUAAAACUCACUAUUAUGUUGGAAAACACGAAUAGUAGCUCCAGACCCACGUGCACCAUUUACAAUAGAGUUGUGG
rnacentral:misc_RNA from 1 species